rnacentral:rRNA from 1 species
ACUCCUACGGGAGGCAGCAGUGGGGAAUAUUGGACAAUGGGGGCAACCCUGAUCCAGCCAUGCCGCGUGAGUGAAGAAGGCCCUAGGGUCGUAAAGCUCUUUCAACUGUGAAGAUAAUGACGGUAGCAGUAGAAGAAACCCCGGCUAACUCCGUGCCAGCAGCCGCGGUAAUACGGAGGGUGCGAGCGUUAAUCGGAAUUACUGGGCGUAAAGCGCAUGCAGGUGGUUUGUUAAGUCAGAUGUGAAAGCCCGGGGCUCAACCUCGGAAUUGCAUUUGAAACUGGCAAACUAGAGUACUGUAGAGGGGGGUAGAAUUUCAGGUGUAGCGGUGAAAUGCGUAGAGAUCUGAAGGAAUACCGGUGGCGAAGGCGGCCCCUGGACAGAUACUGACACUCAGAUGCGAAAGCGUGGGGAGCAAACAGGAUUAGAUACCCUGGUAGCUACGAG